GAAUCACUGCGGUUGAGUUAACGCUCCGGAUUUCUAUGAAAUUUGUUUUUUCGAUUGAGAUAAACAUGUUGUCGCAUUGAAUACCGAAGGAACCGUUGAAAAUGGUGCCGAGAACACCGAUUCCGAGCGCAGCAUCGGUCAACUUCGGAAUUGGCCUGACAAUGGUUUUGGUUGGUUGCGUGAUGCUCGGUAUAGCUGCUGCUUUGUUAUGCCUCAACAAACCAAUUUUGUACUCUCGUGAUGGACGGUAUGACCAGUUACUGAUGUCUGUCAUGCCUGUUGACCCACGACGCAGAAGAAUGGAAGUUUUCCAUCCAAAAUAGUUCAUACUGCAAUAAAAAGAUGGUUUCUAAAAUUUUGAAUUUUUGGUGGAGAAAUUUUUAAAAAGUACAUUUUUUCAUAUGUUCCCCGAUGGACUUGAGAUAUAACAACGUUGAAUAUGAAACUAUAUAAUUUGCUAUCUUUUCUAAAAUGCAUCAUUAUUUGAAAUGUAUAAAUUUGUCUAUUGUUUUUAAAUAAAAAAUGUCUAUAUUUUAAUAAU